CGCCUCUUGACUAGGUAUAAGAGGUAUAGCCUGCCCAGUGACUCUGUUCAACGGCCGCGGUAUCCUAACCGUGCGAAGGUAGCGUAAUCACUUGUUCUUUAAAUGAGGACUAGUAUGAAUGGCACCACGAGGGUUAUACUGUCUCCUUUUUCUAAUCAGUUAAACUAAUCUCCCCGUGAAGAAGUGGGGAUAAAACUAUAAGACGAGAAGACCCUAUGGAGCUUUAAACUAAAUUACACCUGCUUAUUAACAUUUCUCUUCCAGAAUAUUAACAUUUAUACUAGCUUCAUGAUUUUUAGUUUUAGGUUGGGGUGACCGCGGAGCAGAACAAAACCUCCACAUUGAAUGGGAUUACUUCCCUGAGCUUUGAGCCACAACUCCAUGCACCAAUAAAUUGACAUUAAUUGACCCAAUAUUUUGAUCAACGAACCAAGUUACCCUAGGGAUAACAGCGCAAUCCACUUUAAGAGCUCCUAUCGACAAGUGGGUUUACGACCUCGAUGUUGGAUCAGGGUAUCCCUGUGGUGCAGCCGCUACUAAAGGUUCGUUUGUUCAACGAUUAAAACCCU
rnacentral:rRNA from 1 species